rnacentral:rRNA from 1 species
AGAGUUUGAUCAUGGCUCAGAUUGAACGCUGGCGGCAGGCCUAACACAUGCAAGUCGAGCGGAUGACGGGAGCUUGCUCCUUGAUUCAGCGGCGGACGGGUGAGUAAUGCCUAGGAAUCUGCCUGGUAGUGGGGGACAACGUUUCGAAAGGAACGCUAAUACCGCAUACGUCCUACGGGAGAAAGCAGGGGACCUUCGGGCCUUGCGCUAUCAGAUGAGCCUAGGUCGGAUUAGCUUGUUGGUGAGGUAAUGGCUCUUCAACGGGACGCUCCUUAGCUCAUGUUUGCGGAUGCUCUGUCCCUCGUUUUCCGGGACACAGCUCUGACCAUGACUGCGGAUUCCACUGGCCGUCUUUUUC